GACAGUUGGAGAACUAGCAGGAGAAGAUGGCCUGAAAACCUCCCUGGGCCAGGAGAUCCUGGACUAGAGAAGAUGUUUUGCAAGGGUUUGGAUGAUCCACAAGUCAGGGGUCCCUUUCUCGUUCUGCUAGGUCCUAGGAGAACUGAGAAGAGGGAAGGACUGAGGCUGGGACUGGUCCUCAGGGAGUUGGUAGUGAGAUAAGGUAGUUGGUCACAGAGCUCCCUAGAGAUUCAGUACAGAUCCCUGGGGACCCAGAGGAGCUCCAGCUCCUCUUUUAGCAUGCUAGCAAGGGUGCUGUGACUGCCCUCUCCCUAAGUAGGAUGCUGUCCAGGUAUGCAAAACACCCGCACUGCCAGUGCUUACACACUCCACUUCCCUUCUAGGUCUCAGGUUUUCCAGUCUGCAAAAUGGGGUCAGUGAUUAGUAAGUCCCUACCUACUUCAUGUCAAUGAGGAUUUCUUAAAUGAAUAAUUUUGUGUGUUGGAAUGAGCAGACAGAUUUCAGGUCUUUAGAGAAAAAGCCUUAUUUAUUAACAGCAUCAACACAUGGAGCAGAAAUUCCAUCCAUCCCUUUUGCUGUCUUUCCACUGCUGGCUGAACCUGGAGCCAUUGCCUCUUUGAGAACAUGAGGCUCUGCACAGCUGUCCAACCCCAGCUCUGGGAGUUCUUAGAGGCUAAGAGAGGAGGGGCAUCGUGUGAGCAAUGAACGGGCAUUUUGAGAUCAGUGGAGAAUGAUGGAGCCGGAAGCCAAGGCUCUGGUACAACAGCAAAAGGCUUGAGGAUGAAGCAUCCCUGUCAAGAUGAGAGCAGUGUAUGGAGGAGUAUGCCUAGGCUUGGACUGCUGGGGUCUGCAUUCUUGUGCUUCUCCAGUCAGCAGGAGAUAAUCUGGAUAAGCCAGAGUUGCAGAAGGAAGAGACUCAAGCAAUGGACCCAACUCAAGCUCAACCUGGUGGGGCCAACCCCAGAAACCGUGCAAACUCAUAAAUGAAAAGAAAGUUUUCUGCUGUAAGGCUCCAAGACUUGGGGAUUAUCUGAUAGACAAGAUUAUCAUAGAAAAGCUAACAGAUGGGUAUGCUAUAAUAUCUUUUGCAUGGACUGCAUUGCCUAGACCUCUGUGCUGAGGGUGUCAGGCAGGGAUAAUUGCUUUGUUUCAUGCCAUCAAGAUUUAGGAAAUGAUUUCCAUUUUUGUCCAUGUAGAACUCCUUCCAUGACCUUUUCCUGAAGUAUGCAUUGUUCACCACAUUUACAAGAUUCCACCUCCUCCCACUGAGCCACUUCUAGUCUCUCAGUCCUGUCUGCUGCUGACAAUGGCUUUGCCUAUGCUGGGAAGACAUCAGGUUUAGAGAAAGACUGAAUGAGUGGAAUUCAGAGAGAUGAGGGUUCCUUGAAGGUGCAACAAAGCACAGAGACACUUAGUUGGUUGAGCCUCCUGAGAGAGCAGAGAAGGGAAAGGCUUCAUGCUCACCAUGAUGAUAGGUGAGACCCGGCAUGCCCAAACUAGGGCAUUUGUGAUGUGAGGUGGACACCAUGUAAACAUGCCUACCUUUGUCCCACCUAUCACAGACAGGCGGGGUGUGUGGCCUUCCCAAUGCCCUUGCCUCUAACUCUGAAAUGAAAUCUCCAAUAGCUGAGUGGGGUGUGACGUGGAGAACAGUAAGCAAGAGAUUCGGAUUCAGGCAGAAACUGAACCAAAGGAGUCAAAGCCCCAGAGAAAAGGCUGAAGGGGCUUGGUGAGGACAAAAUAAAACACCAGACACAUUUAUACAGGUCUCCCUACCUCUCUGAACAAAACAAUUAUGAGAUAAGAGAGGCACAGAUGGGAGGAAAUUCUUUCAUUUUUCACAUUGCAAGCUAGAGAGCUCCAAUAGGCUGUUUCUGAAGAACAAUAAAGAAGGUAGCGCACUCAGUAAAGAGGUUGUUACAAAUGUGUCGGGUGCUUUGAAAACGCAGGGUUUCUCCCCGCUUUUGGAUAAAGCUGUCAGCUGAGUAUUAAAGGAUUUCUUUUUCUUUCUCUGUCUUUUUUUCCUUCCUCUUGUUUUUUUUUUUUCCUUCUUCUUCCCCCAAAGCAAUAAACUACACCAGUGGUUUGUUACAAUUGGCAGAAAGAGUUAUCAUUUUUUCUUUAGGAUUUGGAAAUGCAAUCAAAGACGGGCAGAUCGGAGCCCGAAUUAAAUGAAGCUUAAACAAACACAAAGAAAAAUCUCGGCUGGUUUUUUUUAAACAAACAAACACUGGAGUUGCAGCCCUGCGUUGCUAAUUUGAAGCUGUAAAGAAUUUGACACUCGCACUUGACAAAAUGGUGCCAAGCAGGGAGGUGGACACUUCUUGCACAUUGAGGACUGAAUGCUCUGAUCAUCUCAGGAAAGUAAAAACUCAUUGCUUUAGGGAACUCUUUAGUGAAACCUGUCUCACAGUCUAAUGGGAAAUCACAGAGGACUUUCCUUCUGUUGACUUGAAAACAGGUUAAUUCUUUCUGGGGUAAAUUAAAUAAAUGAAAGCUCA
ensembl:lincRNA 2810032G03Rik uncharacterized LOC110307248